rnacentral:lncRNA from 1 species
AAAAUGAAGCGUGAAAUUGAAAUUUAACCCAAAAUAGAAUAAAACUUCACCCAAAAAGUAGAUAUUUUGAAAGCGGAUAUUUUGUCAACACUCCAACUCUCAAGGUCCAUUUCCAAUUCUUUUCUCUACUCUUCCAAAUGAAAAUACGAAACAUUUUAACAAAAACAUUUCCACGAUAACAACAUCAGCCAAGUAACCAACAUGAAUUAAAAAAUGAAUGUAUUAAACAAAGCAUAAUUAUUAGUAUUGGUACAACAAUUGAAGUCAUUAUGAAUAUUGGUUUAAACUUAAUUUAAAAAGCACAAACGUGAGAAAUUGCAUAUUUUGAAAUAUUUCAAACUAAGCAUAUAACACAACAGAGAAAGAUGAUAUGUAAUUCAUUUGCAAAAAACUAAAAAAAUUAUUAUUUCACUAAAAAGUUAGAGUUCCAUAAUGUAUGACAAGAAAGAGUUACGUUAAUAAACUUGAAUGUAAACAUUAGAUAAUACAAUUAUCAACGUAAGCACCUAGUCAGAUAUACUUAUUAUUCCAUGAAAUCAUGUGAAAAUGCUCUCUCUCUCUCUCUCUCUCUCUCUCUCUCUCUCUCUCUC